UCAAGAGAAUGAGAAUCAGCAGACAACCUCUAUCAUAAUCAUAGAUGAAAAAUCCUAACCAAUAUAUUAGCAAACUGAAUCAAGCUAUAUGUGAAAAGAAUAAUUUAAGUGUCGUGACCAAGUGAAGUUUAAUUACAAGAGAAGCUCCUCAAGGCUGCUCCCAGUUCCUGGGCACACGGUCUUUCUCAACGCGGCCACCUGCUUCACUAAGCCAGCGAAGACCCCUGGAGCUGUCCGCCAGCAAGAUGGAGGCUCCCAUGACAUCACACAUCAUGGGCGUGGCCUGCAUCUCCGGUUUGUCCUCUUGCGGAGAAGAGAGCCUCGCAGCCUUGAUGAACUGCCUCAAGUCCUUGCUGUUGCUGGAUCGGGUCCUCACUGAGAACGGAAACUGUGAUUACAUAGCAAAAAAUGAGAUGUUUCAAAAUAAUUCUAAAUCAAUAUUUCUCUGGCUCAACAACUGAGAAAUGGCAUCUAAUAUGCAUGCUGCUGAAGUGGGGCUGGCAGUCAAGAACCAGGAAAAUGAAAGAGAACAGAAAACAUCAGAUGCAAAUAAAACUGUGAUGUUUCCCUUGAUCACAUCCCCCAAGAAGAGAAACGUCAAUUCCCAGUAAAGGUGGAGAAUAACUAUCCCGAGCUUUGGGUGCCACAGACAAAAAAGACAACGGUUGCCUCUGAUCUGUAGCAGAAGGUGGAUUAAAAUGGUCCUGGAAGGUUCUACUUGAACAUAAGAGUAAACCCACAGUGAACUCUGAUGACUGCAUAGAAAGUCUUGUCAAUCUUGGCCUGAAGAUAUGGAUCAGUGCUAAAAACAAAAAGCCACAUGACCUCCUGACAGAAAAUAAUUCUAUCACAAAGGCAAGACUUUGACAGCACCACCUUCCAUUUUGCUUAAUCAUAAAAUCAUCAAUUCCAGAAAAACGGAGUCAAUCAACAUAUUAAAGUGGAAUCUGAAAAACAAAACAAACGAACAAACACAGAAAACCAAAAAGACAGAUAUAGGAAGCAAACUCGUGGUUGCCAGAGGGAAGAGGUAGGGGAAUGGGUGAAACAGGAAAAGGAGAUUAAGAGGUACAAACCUUUAGUUAUAAAAUAAGUGAGUCACUGGGUUGAAAAGGACAGCAUAGGGAAUAUAGUUAACAAUAUUGUAAUAAUGUUGUAUAGUGACAGUGACAGAUGGUAACUACACUUACUGUGGUGAGCACUGAGUAAUGUACAGAAUUGUUAAAUCACUGUGUUGUAUACCUGAUACUAAUGUAACAGUGUAUGUCAACUAUAUAAAAAGUCAUGUCC